rnacentral:rRNA from 1 species
CCUACGGGGGGCUGCAGUCGAGAAUCAUUCACAAUGGGGGAAACCCUGAUGGUGCGACGCCGCGUGGGGGAAUGAAGGUCUUCGGAUUGUAAACCCCUGUCAUGUGGGAGCAAAUUAAAAAGAUAGUACCACAAGAGGAAGAGACGGCUAACUCUGUGCCAGCAGCCGCGGUAAUACAGAGGUCUCAAGCGUUGUUCGGAAUCACGGGGCGUAAAGCGUGCGGAGGCUGUUUCGUAAGUCGUGUGUGAAAGGCGCGGGCUCAACCCGCGGACGGCACAUGAUACUGCGAGACUAGAGUAAUGGAGGGGGAACCGGAAUUCUCGGUGUAGCAGUGAAAUGCGUAGAUAUCGAGAGGAACACUCGUGGCGAAGGCGGGUUCCUGGACAUUAACUGACGCUGAGGCACGAAGGCCAGGGGAGCGAACAGGAUUAGAUACCCCUGUAGUC